CCUACGGGAGGCAGCAGUGAGGAAUCUUCCACAAUGGGGGCAACCCUGAUGGAGCGACACCGCGUGAAGGAUGAAGGUCUAACGAUUGUAAACUUCUUUUCUGAGGGAGCAUAAUGAGAGUACUUCAGGAAUAAGGGACGGCUAAAUACGUGCCAGCAGCCGCGGUAAUACGUAUGUCUCGAGCGUUAUCCGGAAUUACUGGGUGUAAAGGGUUUGUAGGUUGUUUGUUAAGUAGGGUAUGAAAGACCGGAGCUCAACUCCGUGUUUGUAUUCUAAACUGGCUGACUAGAGUUAGGGAGAGGUAAGCGGAAUUUUAAGUGUAGGGGUGCAAUCCGUAGAUACUUAGAAGAACACCAAAAGCGAAGGCAGCUUACUGGAACUAUACUGACGCUGAAAAACGAAAGCGUGGGGAGCGAAAAGGAUUAGAUACCCUUGUAGUCCACGCCCUAAACGAUGAUAACUUAGUGUUGGGGGUAACCUCAGUGCUGAAGCUAACGCGUUAAGUUAUCCACCUGAGGAGUACGGUCGCAAGAUUAAAACUCAAAUGAAUUGACGG
rnacentral:rRNA from 1 species